AACUUAUAAUCUGGACAUGCUCUCAUUAACUCCUUGAAUCACUCUCAUGCUUAGAAGAUCGAUUCCUUGUCAUACUACUUAAAGCAGGUAAUCUGGUUUCUAAGUU